UGGGGAAUCUUAGACAAUGGGGGAAACCCUGAUCUAGCCAUGCCGCGUGAGCGAUGAAGGCCUUAGGGUUGUAAAGCUCUUUCAGCUGGGAAGAUAAUGACGGUACCAGCAGAAGAAGCCCCGGCUAACUCCGUGCCAGCAGCCGCGGUAAUACGGAGGGGGCUAGCGUUGUUCGGAAUUACUGGGCGUAAAGCGCACGUAGGCGGAUUAGUCAGUCAGAGGUGAAAUCCCAGGGCUCAACCCUGGAACUGCCUUUGAUACUGCUAGUCUUGAGGUCGAGAGAGGUGAGUGGAAUUCCGAGUGUAGAGGUGAAAUUCGUAGAUAUUCGGAGGAACACCAGUGGCGAAGGCGGCUCACUGGCUCGAUACUGACGCUGAGGUGCGAAAGCGUGGGGAGCAAAACAGGAUUAGAUACCCUGGUAGUCCACGCCGUAAACGAUGAAUGCCAGUCGUCGGGUUGCAUGCAAUUCGGUGACACACCUAAACGGAUUAAAGCAUUCCGCCUGGGGAGUACGGUCGCAAGAUUAAAACUCAAAUGAAUUGACGGGGUCAUAGCUGUUUCCUG
rnacentral:rRNA from 1 species